rnacentral:misc_RNA from 1 species
GAUGAAGAACGUAGCGAAAUGCGAUACGUAGUGUGAAUUGCAGAAUUCAGUGAAUCAUCGAAUCUUUGAACGCACAUUGCGCCCUUUGGUAUUCCAAAGGGCAUGCCUGUUCGAGCGUCAUUUGUACCCUCAAGCUUUGCUUGGUGUUGGGCGUUUUUUGUCUUUGGUUGCCAAAGACUCGCCUUAAAACGAUUGGCAGCCGGCCUCCUGGUUUCGCAGCGCAUCACAUUUUUGCGCUUGCAAUCAGCAACAGAGGGCGGCACUCCAUCAAGACUCCAUUUUCACGUUUGACCUCGGAUCAGGUAGGGAUACCCGCUGAACUUAAGCAUAUCAAUAAGCGGAGGA